AUUUUGUAUGUGAAAAUUGGAGGGAAUUAAACAAUUAGCAUUUUGAUUUUACUUUCUGUUUAGUUUCCUCCAAUAUUUCAUAUCCAAUCU
rnacentral:pre_miRNA from 1 species